AUGGUGGAGGGCUCUGCGUCCGACAUCGCCAACCUGAAGUUCCUCCUCCUGUGUUUCCAACAGAUGUCGGGUCUCACCAUCAACUUCGAUAAGAGUGAAGUGAUGGUCCUCGGCUACCCCCCGGACGAAGCUUUGUCCAUUGCGGACCGGCUUAACUGCCGCCUGGGCACCUUCCCCACAACCUACUUGGGGGUGCCCAUUAGUGACUCCAGACUCACCGUCGCGGAUCUUCGCCCGACGGUGACUAGGAUGCAACAUAGGGUUGAACCCUGGAGGGGCCGCUGGCUGUCGAAAGCUGCCAGGGUGAUCCUAAUCAACUCCUCGCUUGCUAGCCUUCUCUGGUUUCUCAUGAGCUUCUACAGCCUGCAUGAGACCCUCCACCAGGAGGUGGCCAAAUAUCAGUCGAGGUUCUUCUGGGCUGGCGAGGGCAACAAGCAGAAGUACCAUAUGAUGAGUUGGCCCGACAUCUGCAAACCUGAAGACGAGGGGGGCCUUGGGAUCAUGUCUUUCCGACGCAUGAACAUUGCCCUCCUGACCCGAUGGCUGUGGCGUAUCGCCAACGGGAGGGAGGCCUCUGGCUCACCAUCAUCCGUAAUAAGUACCUCCGUGGCCAACCUCUUGCCUUUUGCCAACGUACGGGUGGUUCCCAGUUCUGGCAGUCCAUGA
rnacentral:rRNA from 1 species